rnacentral:sRNA from 1 species
ACCGCCGCGCAUGUCGCGGCUGAGGCCACACGGACAGCCGGGUCGAAUGCCGA